UAUAUAAACCCUAUAGCCCAUGUACACCAUAUUAUCCUCUUCGUUUUAUCCAAGCGUAAUUUGUAACGAUCGUGAGACGGUCCAAGUUCUAAUUGCUUCUUCGCCGACGUAACCGCAGCAACACUGAGAAUCUGUUUUCAAAGCUUCUUGAUUACUAACCAAUUCGAAACACAACUAAUUAACUCGCCACCUCCUCCCUCUUGGACCUAUAAAAACCGAUACCUCCUCUUUCUUUGUCGUUCAGAAUCAUCAAAGUUUUCACAUUCCCUCAAAUUCAUCAAAACUUUCCUGAAAUUUGCCAUGGCAAACCGAUCGCCGGAAACCACCGCUAAUGGCCAAUCGUCUGAAACCACUGUAAGGGUUAUUCUGCGAUUUUGUUCGAACAGGUUUUACCAGGCAGUGGAGACUCUAAACUGUUUUCACGCUUAUCCAUUUUUGGGAAGCUCGCAAUGCAUCCAAUGGGUAAUCCUAAUAAGCGUUGAGAUGCUUAUGAUUGAUGAAGAGGUACUGUCGUUGAGGGUUCAUCGCUCCUAACCGUCUAGAGAGUAAAGAGUUAUGCAAGUCACCUUAAACGUGGUGGUCUUCAAUCGUCGGGAAGGGAUCUUUAGUGAAAGCUUCGUAAUAGCCUUUCGUCUCAGUUUACUAUAGUUUUCUGACUGUCAUUUGUGCUUUGAUCUUCCAUGUUUGGUUCGACACAGAACGCCUUGCUCCUGGUACGUACAAAGCAUCACUUGACAUAUGUUCAGUUUUCUUUGAAUAGUGUUCUUGGGAGUUGUCUGUGAUCUUUUUAUGUUCGAUCUUUUAUAUAUUGUGAGUUUGUUAGGAACGAGGAAGAACAAGCGGUUGACAGAAUUGAGGGAAAUGGAAGAGUUCGAGCUCCAUCACUGGUUAAGUUUCCCACUUUUGAUUCAUGAUUUCACUUCCUCUGUUUCAGAUCAUUGGUUUGGUUUUUGAAAGCUCUUGAUCUAGUGUUUAGGUUGUUGGAGGUUAAAAGAUGGAGAUGAAGCUUCACUGGAGAAGAUUCACCAUCUGGUUUUUGUUUUCUAAUUCUCAAUCGCUGUUUUGAUGAUAACACAAUCCAAACCGAAUGUGAGCAAUGCAGUUUCAGUUUGUUUGCUUUGUUUUUUAAUGAAAGCUGUGGUAUUAUGUAUAGUUUGUUAUUUGCUUAAAAGUUUUGGGUCUCUAAUUUCAAAAUUUGCAUUUACACCAUUAUUAACCUGUAAACGAAACAGAACCAUACCAUUUGUUUCCUUUUUUUUCCUUUCUCUUACGUUUUCCAGGGACCAACUGAAAAUGGGCAAAUUGAUUUCAAGGAGAUGUAAUCUAUGACACAACUUCAGGGUCUGCAUAGCGCAAGAACGACGUCCGAGCAAGUGCGGCUUCAUCUGGUCAUCACUUUGUUUUCUAAUGCUAUGAGAAUUACUUUAUUUUACUUCAAUCUGUCAGUCAACGCCAUCACAUGUAGCAUAACAUGUAAAAGUUCUGUUAUCUAGAAAAGUUACUUUGUUUAUUUAAAUUGAUUUGUGUGAUUGUGUAGUUUAAUUAUUUUUUAUCCUUAGCUCACACCUUGGUAUGUUGACGAGUUUGUCUUCUGUGAAUUUUUUACUUUUUUGUCUUUCAAUGGUGUUUGUAUGU